UCCCAUCUCACACCCGGUGUGGAGAAUGAGGGUCGGGCGCCUCGGCGCCGGUCCCUUCAAAUCAGGCCGGCCUGGUCAAGUCCAUCGGAUUGCUGGUACGAUAGUCCGUCAUGGCGCAAGGAACCACUUG
rnacentral:misc_RNA from 1 species